rnacentral:rRNA from 1 species
UACGUAGGGUGCGAGCGUUGUCCGGAAUUAUUGGGCGUAAAGGGCUCGUAGGCGGUUUGUCGCGUCGGGAGUGAAAACCCAGGGCUUAACCCUGGGCUGGCUUCCGAUACGGGCAGACUAGAGGUAUGCAGGGGAGAACGGAAUUCCUGGUGUAGCGGUGAAAUGCGCAGAUAUCAGGAGGAACACCGAUGGCGAAGGCAGGUCUCUGGGCCACUACUGACGCUGAGAAGCGAAAGCAUGGGGAGCGAACAGG